rnacentral:lncRNA from 1 species
UUGAACGGAGGACGGUCUUUGAGGUCAUUCACCCAAGACAAAAGUGCCAGGGUCUUCGGGCCUCAUGGAAAAACAGGAUUCGUGGUAUGAUCUGAUCGAUAUCAGAAUCACUUGUUUGUAGUCAGCAAUUAGGAUUCGCAGUGAAGAAAUUUCUUUGUGCAGGAUGUCCCGUCUUUCUUUAAAAAGUGAGGCUUUCUUAGUUCGUCCUACCUUUAACAUCCUACGGUUCCCAACUGUUUGAAGUGAUUAAAUAUGACUCAUAAGUAUGACAGAUCAUGAUCAUGAUCAUGAUCACGCAGUAAAAAAGAGCAGGAACCCCUUUUCAUCAAUGUACUGGAGGAUGACGGAGUGACUAGGAGGUGAUCACGGUGAUCGGGUUGCUCUCAUGAAUAAGAACAGGAACCCUUUUGUGGACAUGAUUGUAGGAUAGCCG